rnacentral:rRNA from 1 species
GGGUGAUGAAGGCCUUCGGGUUGUAAAACUCUUUUAUGGGGGAAGAGGAAGGACGGUACCCCAUGAAUAAGCGUCGGCUAACUACGUGCCAGCAGCCGCGGUAAAACGUAGGACGCAAGCGUUAUCCGGAUUUACUGGGCGUAAAGAGCGUUGAGGCGGUUCUGUAAGUUGGGCGUGAAAGCCCUCGGCUUAACUGAGGGACGCCGUCCAAUACUGCAGGACUUGAGGGCAGCAGAGGGAGGUGGAAUUCCCGGUGUAGCGGUGAAAUGCGUAGAGAUCGGGAGGAACACCAGUGGCGAAGGCGGCCUCCUGGGCUGCUUCUGACGCUGAAUGCGAAAGCUAGGGUAGCGAACGGGAUUAGAAUCCCCGGUAGUCCUAGCUGUAAACGAUGGAUGCUAGGUGUAGGAGGUAUAGAUCCCUUCUGUGCCGAAGCUAACGCGAUAAGCAUCCCGCCUGGGGACUACGGCCGCAAGGCUAAAACUCAAACGAAUUGACGGGGGCCCGCACAAGCAGCGGAGCGUGUGGUUUAAUUCGAUGCUACACGAAGAACCUUACCUGGGUUUGACAUGUAGGUAGUAGUGAAGCGAAAGCGGAACGACCCUUCGGGGAGCCUACACAGGUGCUGCAUGGCUGUCGUCAGCUCGUGCCGUGAGGCGUCGGGUUAAGUCCCGUAACGAGCGCAACCCCUGUCCUUAGUUACAAGUGUCUAAGGAGACUGCCGGCGACAAGCCGGAGGAAGGUGGGGAUGACGUCAAGUCAGCAUGGCCUUUAUGUCCAGGGCUACACACACGCUACAAUGGCCGGUACAAUGGGUUGCCAAGCCGUGAGGCGGAGCUAAUCCCCCAAAGCCGGUCUCAGUUCGGAUUGUGGGCUGCAACUCGCCCACAUGAAGUUGGAGUUGCUAGUAACC